rnacentral:rRNA from 1 species
ACCCGCACAAGCAGCGGAGCGUGUUGGUUUAAUUCGAUGCUACACGAAGAACCUUACCAGGGUUUGACAUGUAAGUGGUAGUGAUCUGAAAAGUGAACGACCCCUCGGGGAGCUUACACAGGUGCUGCAUGGCUGUCGUCAGCUCGUGUCGUGAGAUGUUCGGUUAAGUCCGCUAACGAGCGCAACCCUCACUGUGUGUUAUACGUGUCACACGGGACUGCCGGUUUUAAGCCGGAGGAAGGCGAGGAUGACGUCAAGUCAGCAUGGCCUUUAUAUCCUGGGCUACACACACGCUACAAUGGUCUGGACAACAGGUUGCCAAACCGCAAGGUGGCGCCAAUCCAUAAAGUUGGUCUCAGUUCAGAUUGUAGGCUGCAACCCGCCUGCAUGAAGAUGGAGUUGCUAGUAACCGCAGGUCAGCUAUACUGCGGUGAAUACGUUCCCGGGGCUU